rnacentral:rRNA from 1 species
CAGUCGCCACGGUAAUACGUAGGUGGCGAGCGUUGUCCGGAAUUAUUGGGCGUAAAGGGAGCGCAGGCGGACAUAUAAGUCCAUCUUAAAAGUGCGGGGCUCAACCCCGUGAGGGGAUGGAAACUGUAUGCCUUGAGUGCAGGAGAGGAAAGCGGAAUUCCCAGUGUAGCGGUGAAAUGCGUAGAUAUUGGGAGGAACACCAGUGGCGAAGGCGGCUUUCUGGACUGUAACUGACGCUGAGGCUCGAAAGCCAGGGGAGCGAACGGGAUUAGAUACCCGCGUAGUCCCUGUCUCUUAUACA